AGAGUUUGAUCAUGGCUCAGAGCGAACGCUGGCGGCAGGCCUAACACAUGCAAGUCGAGCGCCCAGCAAUGGGAGCGGCAGACGGGAGAGUAACACGUGGGAACGUACCCUUCAGUUCGGAACAACCCAGGGAAACUUGGGCUAAUACCGAAUACGUCCGUAAGGAGAAAGAUUUAUCGCUGAAGGAUCGGCCCGCGUCUGAUUAGCUAGUUGGUGAGGUAACGGCUCACCAAGGCGACGAUCAGUAGCUGGUCUGAGAGGAUGAUCAGCCUCAUUGGGACUGAGACACGGCCCAAACUCCUACGGGAGGCAGCAGUGGGGAAUAUUGGACAAUGGGCGCAAGCCUGAUCCAGCCAUGCCGCGUGGAUGAUGAAGGCCCUAGGGUUGUAAAGUCCUUUCGACGGGGAAGAUAAUGACGGUACCCGUAGAAGAAGCCCCGGCUAACUUCGUGCCAGCAGCCGCGGUAAUACGAAGGGGGCUAGCGUUGCUCGGAAUCACUGGGCGUAAAGCGCACGUAGGCGGACUCUUAAGUCGGUGGUGAAAUCCUGGAGCUCAACUCCAGAACUGCCUUCGAUACUGAGAGUCUCGAGUCCGGGAGAGGUGAGUGGAACUGCGAGUGUAGAGGUGAAAUUCGUAGAUAUUCGCAAGAACACCAGUGGCGAAGGCGGCUCACUGGCCCGGUACUGACGCUGAGGUGCGAAAGCGUGGGGAGCAAACAGGAUUAGAUACCCUAGUAGUCC
rnacentral:rRNA from 1 species